rnacentral:rRNA from 1 species
AGUGAACGCUGGCGGUAGGCCUAACACAUGCAAGUCGAACGGCGGCACAGUAAGAGCUUGCUCUUACGGGUGGCGAGUGGCGGACGGGUGAGGAAUACAUCGGAAUCUACUUUUUCGUGGGGGAUAACGUAGGGAAACUUACGCUAAUACCGCAUACGACCUACGGGUGAAAGCAGGGGAUCUUCGGACCUUGCGCGAUUGAAUGAGCCGAUGUCGGAUUAGCUAGUUGGCGGGGUAAAGGCCCACCAAGGCGACGAUCCGUAGCUGGUCUGAGAGGAUGAUCAGCCACACUGGAACUGAGACACGGUCCAGACUCCUACGGGAGGCAGCAGUGGGGAACAUUGGACAAUGGGCGCAAGCCUGAUCCAGCCAUACCGCGUGGGUGAAGAAGGCCUUCGGGUUGUAAAGCCCUUUUGUUGGGAAAGAAAAGCAGCAGGUUAAUACCCCACUGUUCUGACGGUACCCAAAGAAUAAGCACCGGCUAACUUCGUG